CAAUAGCGUAUAUUAAAGUUGUUGCGGUUAAAAAGCUCGUAGUUGGAUUUCUGCUGAGGACGACCGGUCCGCCCUCUGGGUGAGCAUCUGGUUCGGCCUUGGCAUCUUCUUGGGGAACGUAGCUGCACUUGACUGUGUGGUGCGGUAUCCAGGACUUUUACUUUGAGGAAAUUAGAGUGUUUCAAGCAGGCGCACGCCUUGAAUACAUUAGCAUGGAAUAAUAAGAUAGGACCUCGGUUCUAUUUUGUUGGUUUCUAGAGCUGAGGUAAUGAUUAAUAGGGAUAGUUGGGGGCAUUCGUAUUUAACUGUCAGAGGUGAAAUUCUUGGAUUUGUUAAAGACGGACUACUGCGAAGGCAUUUGCCAAGGAUGUUUUCAUUGA
rnacentral:rRNA from 1 species